rnacentral:rRNA from 1 species
AGAGUUUGAUCAUGGCUCAGGAUGAACGCUGGCGGCGUGCUUAACACAUGCAAGUCGAACGAAGCACUGAUCUUUGAUUCUUCGGAUGAAGAGGUUUGUGACUGAGUGGCGGACGGGUGAGUAACGCGUGGGUAACCUGCCUCAUACAGGGGGAUAACAGUUAGAAAUGACUGCUAAUACCGCAUAAGACCACGGAGCCGCAUGGCUCAGUGGGAAAAACUCCGGUGGUAUGAGAUGGACCCGCGUCUGAUUAGGUAGUUGGUGGGGUAACGGCCUACCAAGCCAACGAUCAGUAGCCGACCUGAGAGGGUGACCGGCCACAUUGGGACUGAGACACGGCCCAAACCCCUACGGGAGGCAGCAGUGGGGAAUAUUGCACAAUGGGGGAAACCCUGAUGCAGCGACGCCGCGUGAGCGAAGAAGUAUUUCGGUAUGUAAAGCUCUAUCAGCAGGGAAGAAAAUGACGGUACCUGACUAAGAAGCACCGGCUAAAUACGUGCCAGCAGCCGCGGUAAUACGUAUGGUGCAAGCGUUAUCCGGAUUUACUGGGUGUAAAGGGAGCGUAGACGGCUGUGUAAGUCUGAAAUGAAAGCCCGGGGCUCAACCCCGGGACUGCUUUGGAAACUAUGCAGCUAGAGUGUCGGAGAGGUAAGUGGAAUUCCUAGUGUAGCGGUGAAAUGCGUAGAUAUUAGGAGGAACACCAGUGGCGAAGGCGGAUUGCUGGACGAUAACUGACGGUGAGGCGCGAAAGUGUGGGGAGCAAACAGGAUUAGAUACCCUGGUAGUCCACACUGUAAACGAUGAAUACUAGGUGUGCGGGGACAGACCCCCUGCGUGCCGCAGUAAACACAAUAAGUAUUCCACCUGGGGAGUACGAUCGCAAGGUUGAAACACAAAGGAAUUGACGGGGGCCCGCACAAGCGGUGGAUUAUGUGGUUUAAUUCGAAGCAACGCGAAGAACCUUACCAGGGUUUGACAUCCUGCUAACGAAGUAGAGAUACAUUAGGUGCCCUUCGGGGAAAGCAGAGACAGGUGGUGCAUGGUUGUCGUCAGCUCGUGUCGUGAGAUGUUGGGUUAAGUCCCGCAACGAGCGCAACCCCUAUUGUUAGUUGCUACGCAAGAGCACUCUAGCGAGACUGCCGUUGACAAAACGGAGGAAGGUGGGGACGACGUCAAAUCAUCAUGCCCCUUAUAUCCUGGGCUACACACGUAAUACAAUGGCGGUCAACAGAGGGAAGCAAAGCCGCGAGGCAGAGCAAACCCCCAAAAGCCGUCCCAGUUCGGAUUGUAGGCUGCAACUCGCCUGCAUAAAGUCGGAAUCGCUAGUAAUCGCGGAUCAGCAUGCCGCGGUGAAUACGUUCCCGGGCCUUGUACACACCGCCCGUCACACCAUGAGAGUCGGGAACACCCGAAGUCCGUAGCCUAACCAGCAAUGGAGGGCGCGGCCGAAGGUGGGUUCGAUAAUUGGGGUGAAGUCGUAACAAGGUA